rnacentral:rRNA from 1 species
AGUGAACGCUGGCGGUAGGCCUAACACAUGCAAGUCGAACGGCAGCACAGGAGAGCUUGCUCUCUGGGUGGCGAGUGGCGGACGGGUGAGGAAUACAUCGGAAUCUACUUUGUCGUGGGGGAUAACGCAGGGAAACUUGCGCUAAUACCGCAUACGACCUACGGGUGAAAGCAGGGGGUCUUCGGACCUUGCGCGAUUGAAUGAGCCGAUGUCGGAUUAGCUAGUUGGCGGGGUAAAGGCCCACCAAGGCGACGAUCCGUAGCUGGUCUGAGAGGAUGAUCAGCCACACUGGAACUGAGACACGGUCCAGACUCCUACGGGAGGCAGCAGUGGGGAAUAUUGGACAAUGGGCGCAAGCCUGAUCCAGCCAUACCGCGUGGGUGAAGAAGGCCUUCGGGUUGUAAAGCCCUUUUGUUGGGAAAGAAAAGCAGCCGGUUAAUACCCGGUUGUUCUGACGGUACCCAAAGAAUAAGCACCGGCUAACUUCGUGCCAGCCGCCGCAGUAAAAC